UGGGGAAUAUUGCACAAUGGGCGCAAGCCUGAUGCAGCGACGCCGCGUGAGGGAUGACGGCCUUCGGGUUGUAAACCUCUUUCAGUAGGGAAGAAGCGAAAGUGACGGUACCUGCAAAAGAAGCGCCGGCUAACUACGUGCCAGCAGCCGCGGUAAUACGUAGGGCGCAAGCGUUAUCCGGAAUUAUUGGGCGUAAAGAGCUCGUAGGCGGUUUGUCGCGUCUGCCGUGAAAGUCCGGGGCUCAACUCCGGAUCUGCGGUGGGUACGGGCAGACUAGAGUGAUGUAGGGGAGACUGGAAUUCCUGGUGUAGCGGUGAAAUGCGCAGAUAUCAGGAGGAACACCGAUGGCGAAGGCAGGUCUCUGGGCAUUAACUGACGCUGAGGAGCGAAAGCAUGGGGAGCGAACAGG
rnacentral:rRNA from 1 species